AGGUCUUAAAUGAACAAGCUUUCAUACUUAUUGAAGAGAGGUUAGAUUUCCACUCAUGUUUUUCCUUGAAUAUCAUUUGUGGUACUUCUUGAAUUAACCUAAGGAAGAUUCCACCUACACUUGAUUAGAAAACUAUCUGUGGUAUCAAAUUAGAAAACCUCUUGAAUUCACACUCGAUGUGUUCUGCUCUGAUCUUUGUGCUUAAUGUUUCACUAUCUUUUUGAUGUUGUCAAAAAGGGGGAGAAAUAUCUAAGUAUAUG
rnacentral:lncRNA from 1 species